CUUCAGCGAACCGAGCAGCAGCGGCCGGGCCGGGUCGCGGUCCUGGCCGUAGGUGGCGAGGAUGGCCUGCGCCUC
rnacentral:antisense_RNA from 2 species